GCCAACUUGAAUUAAUGAACAUGAAAAUUAUAUUCUAUAUGAUUAAUACUACUUAUUCAAGAAAUUCGAUUGAUUGAUACGGGUUGAUUUUCUAUUACGAUAAAUUGAUGAAACAAUAGCUAGUCCAAUAGCUGCUUCAGCGGCUGGGGGAGCUAUAACAAAAAUGGAAAAAAUAUUUCCUUUUAAUUGGCGGCUAUCAAAAAAAUCAGAAAAUGUUACGAAAUUUAGAUUAACUGCAUUCAGUAUAAGUUCAAGGCACAUAAGGGCUCUAACCAUAUUU
rnacentral:misc_RNA from 1 species